GAUGAACGCUGGCGGCGUGCCUAACACAUGCAAGUCGAGCGGCAGCGCGGGGUGCUUGCACCCUGUCGGCGAGCGGCGGACGGCUGAGUAACGCGUGGGAACGUGCCCCAAAGUGAGGAAUAACUGCCCGAAAGGGUAGCUAAUACCGCAUAUUAUCUUCGGAUCAAAGGAUUUAUCCGCUUUGGGAGCGGCUCGCGUCGGAUUAGGUAGUUGGUGAGGUAAUGGCUCACCAAGCCGACGAUCCGUAGCUGGUCUGAGAGGAUGACCAGCCAGACUGGAACUGAGACACGGUCCAGACUCCUACGGGAGGCAGCAGUGAGGAAUCUUCCACAAUGGGCGAAAGCCUGAUGGAGCAACGCCGCGUGCAGGACGAAGGCCUUCGGGUUGUAAACUGCUUUUAUAAGUGAGGAAUGUGACGGUAACUUAUGAAUAAGGAUCGGCUAACUACGUG
rnacentral:rRNA from 1 species